GGGAAGACGAUCUUGGCUGGUGCCAAGGACAUCCUGCUAAGGUGAUCGAGCGAAAGCUUGGAGUUCAAUCCUCCCGUCUUCCA